GGGUUAGAGUAGAAGGGUUGCGAGUAAGUGGGCUGCUGGAUGGGAAGAGACCCCCCUCUCCCAAUUGUGUUUUUGCCCAACUCUGUAGAAGAUGUAUCUGUGAGGUUGGGUGCUAGGGUAGGGAGAAUGGAGACAUUAAGUGGGAGUAAGAAUUGGGAAUUAGAUUCAGGAUUCCCCGGACCUGCCCUCUCCAUGUUCCCGCUGCUCUUUGGCCCUGCCCCAAGGGCCUGACUACAGCCCCUCUCCCUGCAGAGUUACUCUGUUCGCUCAGUCUGCUGUCAGCAGCAAACACUGCCUCUCUCUCAGUCCUGGGCUGGACUCACCCUCAGUGGUCAGAGCACUACUUUUUUCCAUCCUGGAACAUCAGUCCAGGGUCUCAUUAUACAUCCCAGUCUGGGUUCAAACUCCUGACUCUCUGAUCUCAGCCUCCCAAGUGCUGGCAUUAUAGGCCUGGAUCCACUACGUUUGGUCAAAAUGCUGAACUCUUACCUGUGGCUCUGGAGAUGUUUGCUGCCAAGCUAACGGUUUUGGAGGUGUCUGCUCUGGGGGUCUGGAUAUGGGCGGAAGCUCCCUCCACCUGCCCCUGCAGGACCACUUAUCACUGGAACGGAGAGCUGUCACUCAGCUAAAAACAUCUCUUGACACAGAUGAGACUGAAGCUCAGACGGGAGCAUGAGUUGCCCGUUGAACAGACUGCAAGUCUCAAACUCAGCUCUUUUGACUCCUUUUGUUCUCCCUACCGUGCGAGUUGCUGUCGCAUAGGCUAGAUUUCCUGGGAUAAAUGCUGACUUUGUAUAACCACAGUCUGUUAAGUCAAUGGGAUUCAAAGUGUGAGACUACAUGUGAUUUUUAUUACUUUGUGACACCUUUCAAAUAAAUA
rnacentral:sRNA from 1 species